GCGUGUCCUGAGACUUUUUGCGUAAACGUAAGUGUUUUGCGUAAACGUAAGUGUUUAAAGAAAAGAAAAUGUGUAUUGUAGUAAAGUUUUAAAAAACUCGAUUACAAUGGUGCAUCUUUUAAAACAUGGGAGUAUACGAGUAUACGAACCCACUCCCCCUCCCCUUUUUAGAGAGGGGGAUAGCUGAACUCGUCUUUCAACGAUCUGCCUACGCACCCCUUUUGAGGAUCAAGCCAUCUCGUAAUUAUGUUUCAUGCCGCGAGCGUUUUUACUCGGCGGUUGUCGCCGUGCUGACCGCCUUGAUCGUGAUGGCCGUGGCCGAAUUAGUGCUCUCUUCCGGUCGGGUU
rnacentral:lncRNA from 1 species